UACGUAGGGUGCAAGCGUUGUCCGGAAUUAUUGGGCGUAAAGAGCGUGUAGGCGGCCAAGCAGGUCAGCUGUGAAAACUCGAGGCUCAACCUCGAGACGUCGGUUGAAACCGCUUGGCUAGAGUCCGGAAGAGGAGAGUGGAAUUCCCGGUGUAGCGGUGAAAUGCGCAGAUAUCGGGAAGAACACCCGUGGCGAAGGCGGCUCUCUGGGACGGUACUGACGCUGAGACGGCGGAAAAGCGUGGGGAGCGAACAGG
rnacentral:rRNA from 1 species